rnacentral:piRNA from 2 species
UAAGAAGUUAACCUUGCAGGAGAGGUGGU